AGUAGAGACGGGGUUUCACCAUGUUGGCCAGGCUGGUCUUGAACUUCUGACCUCAGGUGAUCCACCCACC
ensembl:miRNA